CUACGUGCCAGCAGCCGCGGUAAUACGUAGGGCGCGAGCGUUGUCCGGAAUUAUUGGGCGUAAAGGGCUUGUAGGCGGUUGGUCGCGUCUGCCGUGAAAUUCUCUGGCUUAACUGGGGGCGUGCGGUGGGUACGGGCUGACUUGAGUGCGGUAGGGGAGACUGGAACUCCUGGUGUAGCGGUGGAAUGCGCAGAUAUCAGGAAGAACACCGGUGGCGAAGGCGGGUCUCUGGGCCGUUACUGACGCUGAGGAGCGAAAGCGUGGGGAGCGAACAGGAUUAGAUACCCUGGUAGUCCACGCUGUAAACGAUGUCGAUUUGGAGGUUGUGCCCUUGAGGCGUGGCUUCCGGAGCUAACGCGUUAAAUCGACCGCCUGGGGAGUACGGCCGCAAGGUUAAAACUCAAAUGAAUUGACGGGGGCCCGCACAAGCGGUGGAGCAUGUGGUUUAAUUCGAUGCAACGCGAAGAACCUUACCUGGUCUUGAUAUCC
rnacentral:rRNA from 1 species